rnacentral:rRNA from 1 species
GUCCUAAGGUAGCGAAAUUCCUUGUCGGGUAAGUUCCGACCUGCACGAAUGGCGUAAUGAUGGCCAGGCUGUCUCCACCCGAGACUCAGUGAAAUUGAACUCGCUGUGAAGAUGCAGUGUACCCGCGGCAAGACGGAAAGACCCCGUGAACCUUUACUAUAGCUUGACACUGAACAUUGAGCCUUGAUGUGUAGGAUAGGUGGGAGGCUUUGAAGUGUGGACGCCAGUCUGCAUGGAGCCGACCUUGAAAUACCACCCUUUAAUGUUUGAUGUUCUAACGUUGGCCCGUAAUCCGGGUUGCGGACAGUGUCUGGUGGGUAGUUUGACUGGGGCGGUCUCCUCCUAAAGAGUAACGGAGGAGCACGAAGGUUGGCUAAUCCUGGUCGGACAUCAGGAGGUUAGUGCAAUGGCAUAAGCCAGCUUGACUGCGAGCGUGACGGCGCGAGCAGGUGCGAAAGCAGGUCAUAGUGAUCCGGUGGUUCUGAAUGGAAGGGCCAUCGCUCAACGGAUAAAAGGUACUCCGGGGAUAACAGGCUGAUACCGCCCAAGAGUUCAUAUCGACGGCGGUGUUUGGCACCUCGAUGUCGGCUCAUCACAUCCUGGGGCUGAAGUAGGUCCCAAGGGUAUGGCUGUUCGCCAUUUAAAGUGGUACGCGAGCUGGGUUUAGAACGUCGUGAGACAGUUCGGUCCCUAUCUGCCGUGGGCGCUGGAGAACUGAGGGGGGCUGCUCCUAGUACGAGAGGACCGGAGUGGACGCAUCACUGGUGUUCGGGUUGUCAUGCCAAUGGCACUGCCCGGUAGCUAAAUGCGGAAGAGAUAAGUGCUGAAAGCAUCUAAGCACGAAACUUGC